rnacentral:rRNA from 1 species
UACGUAGGGUGCGAGCGUUGUCCGGAAUUACUGGGCGUAAAGAGCUCGUAGGCGGUUUGUCGCGUCUGCUGUGAAAACCCGAGGCUCAACCUCGGGCCUGCAGUGGGUACGGGCAGACUAGAGUGCGGUAGGGGAGAUUGGAAUUCCUGGUGUAGCGGUGGAAUGCGCAGAUAUCAGGAGGAACACCAAUGGCGAAGGCAGAUCUCUGGGCCGUAACUGACGCUGAGGAGCGAAAGCAUGGGGAGCGAACAGG